UGGGGAAUUUUGGACAAUGGGGGCAACCCUGAUCCAGCAAUGCCGCGUGUGUGAAGAAGGCCUUCGGGUUGUAAAGCACUUUUGUCCGGAAAGAAAUCCUCUGGGUUAAUACCUCGGGGGGAUGACGGUACCGGAAGAAUAAGCACCGGCUAACUACGUGCCAGCAGCCGCGGUAAUACGUAGGGGGCGAGCGUUGUCCGGAGUUACUGGGCGUAAAGGGCACGCAGGCGGUGCGGCGCGUGUCGCGUGACAGCGGGUGGCUUAACUGCCCGAGGGUGCGACAGACGGCCGGACUUGAGGGCCAGAGAGGGACCUGGAAUUCCGGGUGGAGUGGUGAAAUGCGUAGAUAUCCGGAGGAACACCAAAGGCGAAGGCAGGGUCCUGGCUGGUGACUGACGCUGAGGUGCGAAAGCUAGGGGAGCGAAC
rnacentral:rRNA from 1 species